rnacentral:rRNA from 1 species
UGGGGAAUAUUGGACAAUGGGCGCAAGCCUGAUCCAGCCAUGCCGCGUGUGUGAAGAAGGCCUUCGGGUUGUAAAGCACUUUUGUCCGGAAAGAAAAGCUUCGGGUUAAUACCCCGGGGUUCUGACGGUACCGGAAGAAUAAGCACCGGCUAACUUCGUGCCAGCAGCCGCGGUAAUACGAAGGGUGCAAGCGUUACUCGGAAUUACUGGGCGUAAAGCGUGCGUAGGUGGUUUGUUAAGUCUGAUGUGAAAGCCCUGGGCUCAACCUGGGAAUUGCAUUGGAUACUGGCAGGCUAGAGUGCGGUAGAGGAUGGCGGAAUUCCCGGUGUAGCAGUGAAAUGCGUAGAGAUCGGGAGGAACAUCUGUGGCGAAGGCGGCAUCCUGGCCCUGUCCUGACGCUCAGGGGCGAAAGCGUGGGGAGCAAACAGGAUUAGAUACCCAUGUAGUCCCUGAGCGGGCUGGCAAGGCGCAU